rnacentral:lncRNA from 10 species
GGUUCAAGAGAUUCUCCUGCCUCAGCCUCCCGAGCAGCCGGGACUGCAGGCGCCCGCCACCACACCCUGUGAAUUUUUGUACUUUUAGUAAAGACAGGAUUUCACCAUGUUGGUCAGGCUGGUCUAGAACUCCUGACCUCAGAUAAUUUGCCCACCUUCGCCUCCCAAAGUGCUGGGAUUACAGGCGUAAGCCACUGCACUCAACCAGUAUGCCUUUUUGAGUUGAUUUUUAUACCGCAUUGUACUUGAAAUGGUAAGCAAUGACCCCUCAGUAUUCUUCAAUUUGGGGUAUCUUAUAAUUUAUAUGGUUCCACAUGCUGACUUUUCACCUCCUAGCAUGUGUUUGUUGUUGUUGUUGCUGUUGUGAGACGGAGUCUUGCUCUGUCGCCCAGGCUGACAGUUUAAUUCCAAUGAACGGAUGUGCAUGUGCGACGGGCACAGCAACUGGGUUUGUUUUCACUCUAUUCUCGCUUAAGUGAGGCAAUAAUACAAAGUUGACUGUGGGCUCCCAGAACACUUGCUGGUGCUAAUGCCUACACUGUCAACUGCAAUUCAAGAACCGAUGACAAAUUCAAGACAAUGCCCUGCAAAUGAUGCCAAUUUCUUUUUUUUUUUCUUUUUGAGACACAGUCUCAUUCCAUUGCCCAGGCUGGAAUACAGUGGUGUGAUCACAGGUCACUGCAGCCUCAGCCUCGCCCUUUGGGACUUCAGCAAUCCUCCCACCUCACCCUCCUGAGUAGCUAAGACUACGGGCCAUACUGGCAAUUUUUUUUUUUUUGAGACGGAAUCUCGCUGUGUCGCCCAGGCUGGAGUGCAGUGGCACAAUCUCGGCUCACUGCAAGCUCCACCUCCCAGGUUCACGCCAUUCUCCUGCCUCAGCCUCCCGAGUAGCUGGGACUGCAGGCGCCCGCCACCAGACCCGGCUAAUUUUUUGUAUUUUUAGUAGAGAUGGGGUUUCACCCUGUUAACCAGGAUGGUCUCAAUCUCCUGACCUCAUGAUCCACCUGCUUCGGCCUCCCAAAGUGCUGGGAUUAUAGGCGUGAGCCACCGCACCAGGUCCAUACUGGCAAAUUUCUUGACUUUUUUUUUUUUUUUUUUUGAGAGACAAGACAAGGUUUCACUACGUUACCCAGGCUGAUUUUGAACUCCUAAACUCAAGCAAUCCUCCCAAUGUGGCCACCCAAACUGCUGGUUUUACAGAUGUGAGCUACUGCGACUGGACCAAAUGAUGCCAAAUAUAUUCCUGAAAACAAACAUACACACAACUUCUAAAGUGUGAUCAAUGCAUGACUAGUCUAGCUUUCAUAGUUCAAAUAAGACUAAAUAUUUGUGUGGAUUUUAAAAGAUAUACCUAUUCCAGGGGUUACUGGUAAGGUUUAACCAACAAUCAAUCACUAAGGCAAUUAUUUCUGGAUCCCAUCACAGACAUCAGUAACAGGCAGCUGGGGAGACAUGGAAGGUUUUUGACUAUGGCAAAGAUAUGAUCCAUACUCAGAUUUAAGAAAAAUUACUGGGGGGAGGAAAGAGUUAUAUAGAAUGAAUAGCAACACUAUUGUUGAGAAAUAGGCCAAAAAUAAGGCAAAAACAUUCAAUGUGAAAUGAAGGAAAACUGAUAAGAACUGGUAGCUCAUUGGGUAGCAGGUAGAUUCCAUUUUAAAACAGAAUUUGAAGCCAAACAAGAGCUAGGUUAGUAAAAUUGCCAAGGAAAGUCAGGAGAAGGGGCUGGAUUGCAAUGUAAAAAGAAAUUGUGAUUUGGUGCCCUUGGAGCAUUUAUAUUCAUUAAGCAGGCCCUUGAAAACGCGGAGUAGGUAUAGAUACCCUCUGCUGAACCUUCCCAGAGGGCAGAUGGGACCCCCAAUGAAGACGAGGAGAAAGGAGAAAAUGGCAAAGCCAGAGGAAGAAAGUUGAAGAACCAAUGAGGUAGGAAAAUCAAGAUAUCUCAGGUCAUCAGAACCAAGAAAAGAGCUUUAAAAAGGUACAAAUGUCACAGAAAAAUUAAGAAGGGCUGAAAAUAGGUGCUGAAUGCUAUUUGGGAAUUCAUUGCUGACCUUACAACUGCUAAUCCAAUGUUGUAAACACAAGCCAGUCCAAAAGAAGACAAGGAAGUGGUGAGGACGGGGUGAGAAGAUGAAGAAGUGAGGGCAGCAAGGCAGAUCCACACAGUAAGUUAAAGUCACUGGGAGGCAGCUCUAGAAAAUUUCAAGGUUUAAAAUCUAGGAUGGUGAGGUCGAGGCAGGUGGAUCACUUGAAGCUAGGAAUUCAAAACUAGUCUGGCCAACAAGGCGAAACCCCAUCUCUAUUAAAAAUACAAAAAUUAGGCUAGGCGCGGUGGCUCACACCUGUCAACCCAGCACUAUGUGAGGCCGUGGUGGGCGGAUCACCUGAGGUUGAGAGUUAAGACAAGCCUGACCAACAUGGGGAAACCCCGUCUCUACUAAAAAUACAGAAUUAGCCAGGUAUGGUGGCACAUGCCUGUAAUCCCAGCUACUCGGGAGGCUGAGGCAGGAGAAUUGCUUGAACCCGGGAGGCAGAGAUUGCAGUGAGCCGAGAUUGCACCAUUGCACUACAGCUUGGGCAACGAGAGCGAAAUUCUGUCUCAAAAAAAAAAAAAAAAAAAAUUGGCUGGACAUGAUGGUGUGGCCUGUAAUCCCAGCUAUUGAGGAGGCUGAGGCAGGGGAAUCGUUUGAACCUGGGAGGUGAAAUUUGCAGUGAGCCAAGAUGGCACCAUCGCACUCCAGCCUGGGCGACAAAGCAAGGCUCUUUAUCAAAACUAAAUAAAUAAAUAAAUAAAUAAAUAAAUAAAUAAAUAAAGUCUAGGAUUACCUCAUUGGGGGUGAGGAGGGGAAAAAAUAGCCUAUAAAUGAGAGUAAAGGGGCAAACCAUGGAAGGUAACAGAGGAGAAAUGUCUCUGAGGACUGGGUUUAUCUGCCAGAUUAGUAAAAAGGAGAGGGCUGCAAUAAAGGAGUCUAUAAACCAAGUCUGAAGUGACAGGUCGGUUGAGCUCACCUCAGAUACCCCAGUCUGAUAAAAAUUGUGUAUCGGCACAAAUUCAGGUCUACUUCAAGAGGGAGAGGGUGGAGUUGAGACAAAAGAACAAAGUAGGAAAGACCUGUAACAGAUAGAAAAAGUGCAAUGAGGAGUCAAACAGAAAUGAGCAAAAAGUAUGCCAGAAAGUGCAGAGGGCCCAGAUUAUGUAUUGAGGGACAAUCUAUAGCAUUCCUUGUCUUAUUCCUGCAAAUCUCGGCAACCUGUCCUCAGGACCAAAGUGGGGUUUACCCAUGUUUGGAAAUGCACAGAAGCUUAUAAACCUGGUUGUACAUCAGGAUCGUCUGGGCACUUGUUAAAAAUACAGCUUCUUGGCCAGGCGUAGUGGCUCACGCCUGUAAUCCCAGCACUUUGGGAGGCUAAGGCAGGUGGAUCACCUGAGGUCAGGAGUUCAAGACCAGCCCAGCCAACAUGGUGAAACCCCGUCUCUACUAAAAGUACAAAAAUUAGCUGGGCAUAGUGGUAGGUGCCUGUAAUCCCAGCUACUCGGAAGGCUGAGGCAGGAGAAUCAUUUGAACCCGGGAGGGGGAGGUUGCAGUGAGCCGAGAUCGUGCCAUUGCACUCCAGCCUGGGGAACAAGAGUGAGACUCUGUCUCAAAAAAAAAAAAAAAAAAAAAUACAGCUUCUUGGCCGGGCGUGGUGGCUCAUGCCUGUAAUCCCAGCACUUUGGGAGGCGGAGGCGGGUGGAUCACGAGGUCAGGAGUUCAAGACCAGCCUGGCCAAGAUGGUGAAACCCCAUCUCUACUAAAAAUACAAAAAUUAGCUGGGCAUGGUGGCAGGUGCCUAUAAUACCAGCUACUUGGGAGGCUGAGGCAGAGAAUUGCUUGAACCUGGGAGGCGGAGGUUGCAGUGAGCUGAGAUCACACCACUGCACUCCAGCCUGGGUGACAGAGCAAGACUCUGUCUCAAAAAAACAAAAAGCAAACAAACAAAAAAAAACAGCUUCUCUAACCCUACCCCUCAGAUUCUGAGUCACUAUGUCAAGGGUGUGGCUAGAGAUUUUUAAUUAGCAAUCCCAAGUAAUUCUGAAACAGCUGGUAGAAUGGCAUUUGGAAGCCAAGCAGAUCAUCAGAAUUAUCUAAUAUACUUUUUAAAAAUGCAGAUCCAUAAGCUCCUGUCCAAACCUACUGAAUCUCUCACCACAUUUCACAUGCAUAAAUUUUUUCUUUUUUUUUAAAUUUUUUUGAGAUGGAGUCUAGCUCUGUCACCCAGGCUGGAGUGCAGUGACACAAUCUCAGCUCACUGCAAACUCUGCUCCCUCGGUUCAAGCGAUUUUCCUGCCUCAGCCUUCCAAGUAGCUGGGAUUACAGGCGCCCACCACCACGCCUGGCUAAUUUUUGUAUUUUUAGUAGAGACAGGGUUUCACCAUGUUGGCCAGGCUGGUCUCAAACUCCUGACCUCAAGUGAUCCGCCUGCUUCUGCCUCCCAAAGUGCUGGAAUUACACACAUGAGCCACUGCGCCCAGCCCCACAUCCAUAUAUUUAAAUGCAUCAUGUAGGCUGGGCACAGUGGCUCACGCCUGUAAUCCCAACACUUUGGGAGGCUGAGGCGGGCGGAUCACCUGAGGUCGGGAGUUCGAGACCAGCCUACCAACAAGGAGAUAACCUGUCUUUACUAAAAAUACAAAAUUAGCCAGGCGUGGUGGCACAUGCCAGUAAUCCCAGCUACUCGGGAGGAUAAGGCAGGAGAAUCACUUGAACCCAGGAGGCGGAGGUUGCAGUGAGUCAAGAUCGCGCCAUUACACUCCAGCCUGGGCAACAAGAGCAAAACUCCAUCUCAAAAAAUAAAAUAAAAUAAAAAAUAAAUGCAUCAUGUUCUAAUCCUUUUUCAAUCAAUUUUCCAGCAAAUGCGUAUUUGAAAAAAAAAAGAGAUUUGAGUAAGAGCAAUACAAGUAAGUACUAUUGAUUGAAUUCUGGUUCUGAACCAGAACUAUAUGUAUGUUAUCUCCCUGUAAAAGGACUGACUCCAACAGCAGGUGACCUCAGGCAGACCCCCAAUCAAGUUCCCGUUCCCUCAACAAAUUCCAGUUCCUCUUCUCUGUUACCAGUUAAAACCAUGAACCUAGAUUUCCUUCAGCAGAGAAAAGGAAUGCAAGCAAGCAGGUGACUGUGGAGUAAGAGUCUCUCAAUGCUCUUAGGUCCACAAGUUUACAUGGCUAUUCAUUAAAAGACCACUGACUAGGCUGGGCGCAGUGGCUCACGCCUGUAAUCCCAGCACUUUGGGAGGCCGAGGCGGGUGGAUCACCUGAGGUCGGGAGUUCGAGACCAGCCUGACCAACUUGGAGAAACCCCAUCUCUACUAAAAAUACAAAAUUAGCCAGGCAUGUUGACGCUUGCCUGUAAUCCCAGCUACUCGGGAGGCUGAGGCAAGAGAAUUGCUUGAACCCGGGAGGCGGAGGUUGUGGUGAGCCGAGUUCACUCCAUUGCACUCCAGCCUGGACAAGAGUGAAACUCCUUCUAAAAAAAAAAAAAAAAAAACCACUGACUGCUCUUUAAACUGUUCUUGGAGCCAGGCACGGUGGCUCACGCCUGUAAUCCCAGCACUUCGGGAGGCUGAGGCGGGUGGAUCACAAGGUCAGGAGAUCGAGACCAUCCUGGCUAACACGGUGAAACCCCGUCUCUACUAAAAAUACAAAAAAUUAGCCGGGUGUGGUGGCAGGCGAUUGUAGUCCCAGCUACUCUGGAGGCUGAGGCAGGAGAAUGGCGUGAACCCGGGAGGUGGAGCUUGAAGUGAGCCGAGAUUGCGCCACUGCUCUCCAGCCUGGGCAACAGAGCCAGACUCCGUCUCAAAAAAUAAAAAUAAAAAAUAAAAAUAAAUAAGCUGUUCUUGGAAGGAAAUUCUUAUAAGAAACUUUUCCUGGUUCCAAUUUCAGAGCCCAUCUUUAAGGAGCUUCUAAGAAGCAUUAAUGAUAUUCAUGCACAUGCACACCAUCCAUCAUUUUAGUGUAAAUCUUUACUUGUUUAGAACAUUGUAUGAUUCUAAUAAUACUAAAGAUACUUUUAUUUAAAAAUAUAAUAUAGAUUUUUUAAUGUUACAAAUAACAUUAGCUCUAACAUAUGAAUGCAAAUGACCUAUGGUUAUUGCUUUACGUUGGGCCACUCAAAGCCCUGGAAAACCUUAAGAACAGGUGUUAACAGGCAUGCAAGCACUGAAGCCAGUGACAUAAGUCUGAAUCCUGCCUCUGAAAUUUACUAGGUGCAGGGUACUGCAAUAGGACUUUCUGAAACUUUUUUUCCUUCCCUAAAAUUGUAAUAAUACCACCUAUUUUUUCAGGGUUGUUAUAAGAACUAGAGGUAACAUACACAUAGUCCUGGUUCAGUGCCAGAAUUCAAUCAAUAGUACUUUUUUGUAUUGCUUUCACCAAAAUUUCUAUCCCUCUUCCCCAGAGAUGAAAUUAGUACUCUAGAAGUUCUCAGGAUACUGGGGUAUAUGUUGAAAAUGUGAGCAUUCCAGCCAUGGUGAGUACCAGAAAAAAAAAAACUGUACUUACAUAGAAAGUUUACCAAGUAAAUAAUGUGAAAAGUCCCUCACCACAAAGCACCGAGAUGCUGAAUAAAUUACAACAGAUAUUCAAAUACUCAGAUACAACAAAUGCAUGGCUGAGCUCAUAACAAAAUAAAGGAGGUGCCCAAAGGCAAGCAAAAAAAAAAAAGAACCCAAAACUUAAACACAAGUAACUAACUUGUAAGACCAUGCUGCCCAAGAGGCAAAGUCAUUGCCAGGAACCCGAAAGCCUAGGGGACUAAGAGCCUUUCAGGGGACGGAAGUUUUGGCCUUGGGUUUUCACAAUAGGAAAAAGCUGAACCUGAGGCCUGGAACUAAGGUUCCAUAAAAGGGAGCAUUGGGCCGGGCACGAUGGCUCACACCUGUAAUCCCAGCACUUUGGGAGGCCGAGGCGGGCGGAUCACGAGGUCAUGAUAUUGAGACCAUCCUAGCCAACAAGGUGAAACCCCGUCUCUACUAAAAAUACAAAAAUUAGCUGGGCAUGGUGGUGUGUGCCUGUAGUCCCAGCUACUAGGGAGGCUGAGGCAGGAGAAUCACUUCAGCCCAGAUGGCGGAGGUUGCAGUGAGCCAAGAUUGCACCACUGCACUCCAGCCUGGCGACAGGGUAAGACUCAGUCUCAAAAAAAAAAAAAAGAUGGAGUUUUGCUGCGUUGCUCAGGCUGGAGUGCAGUAGCUAUUCACAGGUGCAAACACAGCAUACUUCAUCCUCAAACUCAUGGCUUGUAGUGAUUCUCCUGCCUCAGCCUCCCAAGUAGCUGAGACUAUAGGAGUGCACCGAUUAUAAGGAUUGUUAUCUCUGUUGUCCAGAUGAAGAAACGUAGAAAUUAAGAGACAGUCCAAUUCACACAGCUAGCUAUGGAAGAGGGACUAGAACGUGAGUGCUAUAUAACCCCAAAGCCUAUGUCUUAAUUGCUUCACCUUUCUGUUUCACUUAAAUGGGGAGCUUCACAUUCAGGAAUACACAAAGGAUGCAGUUGGUACACUUUAUUAUUUUUGCCAAAAAGCACAGAACUCUAAAAACAGCAGGGUUUAUAACCACAGAACAUGACAUAACAAUGCUAAAUGGAAUUUUCUGCCAAGUUCUUGAGUUUUCAGUUUUUGUUCCUUCUUCUUUAAGAGGGAAAGUGACAUUUCAAUUGAGUAAUGCCUACUUUGUAAUGCGUUUAAAUUUUGUGGUUUUCAUAUAUAAAUAUUUUCCUAGGUGCUAUAGAAUGAACUGGCACUUUUCAGUAACUUAAAUCUGGUUUACUUUUUGAUGAGGGGGAAGAACAGACUUAUCUAAUGAUACUAUUGAACUAAUAGGGAGGCAGAUUUGAGUCAAAGAAGAAAGCACUUUCUAAAAUAUUUUUUACCCUUCCCAAAUUGAACAGGGUGUGGUCAUCCAGUAGUUUGAGACUACUUCUCAAAACACUAGAUCAUUCUCCUACAGAUAUUACAGAUUUUAUCAUGGUAAGGGGAAUGGCUGUACCUAUUAAGAUAAUUACUUUUCGACCCUGAAAAUAGCAACAAGAAUUUUGAGUUUCAGCCGGUUUACAAUAUCGAGACAAUGUAACACACCUAGAAAAGGUAGUGCUAGGUUCUCCAUUUUAAAAAAAACUGCUCUGGGUUUUCUUUGAAUUAAAAAAAAAAAAAAUGGUGUGUGCCUGUAGUCCCAUCUACUUAAGAGACUGAGGCAGAAGGAUAGCUUUGAGCCCAUGAGUUCGAAGCUAUAGUGAGCUACGAUUGUACCUAUGAAUAGGCACAGCACUCUAGCCUUAUCCUGGGCAACACAGUGAGACCCCAUCUCUCUCUGACUCCCCUCCCCUCUCUCUCUCUCUCUCCCUCUCCCUCUCUUUUUGAGACAGGGUCUCACUCUGUUGCCCAGGCUGGAAUACAGUGAAACGAUCAUGGCUCACUACAGCCUCCACCUCCUGAGCGCAAGCGAUCCUCCCACUUCAGUCCACAAGGGGUCAUUUUUUGCAGAGACGGGGUUUUGAAAUGUUCCCAGGCCGGUCUCAAACUCCUGGGCUCAAGCGAUCCUCCCCCUCGGUCUCCCAAAGUGCUGGGAUUACAGGCGUGAGCCCCCGUGCCAAGCAAUCCCGUCUCUUUAAAAAAAAAAAAAAAAAAAAAAAAAAAAAUGCCUGGCCAACAUGGUGAAACUCCGUCUCUACUAAAAGUACAAAAAAUUAGCCGGGCGUGGUGGC